CCGGUCGUAGGGUUUUUGGCCAUCGUUCUUUUUCUUUUCUCCUCCCCUCUCUCUCUCUCUCUCUCUCUCCGUCUCACACCCGCCUCGCGCUCCGUGAAGAGCCCUCGCUCCAUCUCCGCCGCCACCCAUGGCCGCGGCCGCGGCGAGAUCGGUUCUUCGCGCCUCUCCCUCCUCUCUCCGGAGCGCCGUGGCGAGGCUCGCCUCCGAGUCCGGGGCCUCGCGCUCUCCGCUCCUCCGCCUCCCCAAGCGAAGCUCCGUCGCCUCUCGCUUUUUCAGAUGUCCUGUUGAGAUGAACUUCUGUGUGGAGUCUCUGAUGCCGAUGCACAGCGCGACUGCGGCGGCUGUGAUGACCUCUAUGCUCAGCGUUUCCUUGAGGGGAUACGGAUGGCUCUCCGAAGCCGGGAAUGAUGAUGUGUGACAAAUUCUAGGUGGAUUGUAGCAGAAUAUAUAUCUGUUCCCUCCAGAUUUACAGGUCUGUGACAUGCAUCAUGAAGAGUAUUUGUCUUGGAGACCGUCGUUCUUCUUUCACUUCUGUCUUACCGUUAUCUUUUAGUUUGCAUAAGAAAAGAUGAAACUAUUGUGCCACUAGAUAGAUUGUUAUCGUCUCUUAGCUGUGGUUUCUGUUAAUCUUUGUAACUUAAUACCUGGAGCUUAGAUGGUUGAAUUUUCAUAUUUGUAGAUGGAUGAGUUGUAUUUUGCGGAAGAAAGUGCGGUCAGUGGUAGUAGCUGCAGAUUUCUUCAUCAUUAAUUGUUGAGGUAGUUGCAACCAGUUUUUUUUUUUUUUUUUUUUUUUUUCAUUUAAGAGGUUUGUGUUGCUAAAAGAUAUUGGAUAUGUAAUUUUGGUACUAAAUGGAACUUAAAUUAUUUUAAGUUGGUUAAUAAUGCAUAAUCAUCAGUUGGUCCAAUGGCAUGGCGGUUGAUUACUCGAUAUGUCAACAAUUUUAAAUAUCAAGCAAUCAAUGAGGUGCAACUGAGAGUUGCAGAAUUUUCCAGCAA